rnacentral:lncRNA from 1 species
CUCACUGAUGUGGGUGCGUUUUAUGUUUUUCCAUCAUAGCCAUCUUGUAUGUGAGCUGAUUCUUCGUCUUUUCUUUUAAUUGAAAAAGGGUCAGUCACACAGUGGAAUCCCUAUCCACACCACUGAAUUUUCCAUUUACUAACAUAUGCAUGAACAUAUUUUGAACUUAACAAACGUCCAUUUCAUAGGAUCCUUUAUGGUGGACACGAAGGUUUCUGAUCCAACACUUGCUUAUCCCGAGUCCGGGGUCCAAUUGUGCAAUCCUCCCAGCCGGCCUCAGUUUCUGCAGUUGUAAAAGGCGAUAAUAAAUACCUGAAGAGAGCCUAAGAGAAUGCUGGGAGGUAAAAUAAUAUGUGAAAAACAAAAAAAACAAAAAAAAAAAACAAAACAAAAAAACCCCCAAAAAACCCCUCCAGAAGUUUCUGGCACAAGGAUAGAGCUCCAUAAACAUUGGUAGUUAUCAUCAAUUCUUUCAUUGUUCUCUGUCCCUUGUGUUUGUGGGUUCGGAAUUCUUUAUUGACCUUAAGGUUGUUCCUGGUUUCUCACUUGCUAAAAAGAUACGAAAAUCAGCUACAAACUGAUGGCACACUCUUGUAAUCCCAGAAGUUUGGGAGGCUGAGGCAGGAGGAUUGCAAGUUCAAAGCCAGCCUCAGCAAUGGCAAGGCCCUAAGCAACUCAGUGAGACCCUGUCUCUAAGAAAAUACAAAAUAGGGCUGGGGAUGAGCUCAGGGUCGAAUGCUCCUGAGUUUAAUUCCCUGUAACCCCCGCCCACCCCCAAAAUAAAAUUAGCUACAUAGUUGCAUUUACUUAUUUUUUAACGCCACAGGGACAGGCCCCCUUUCUCAGAGAUGAGUUGACCCAAGGACAGCUGUCCACCUCAGUUGAGCCCCAGCCUCUGUCCUUCUUAGAACAGCCUGUGGUCAUAUAGAGCAGGGCCACCCUGGAAUACACUGCUCUGACCACGGUCUUUAGACCAGCCCUCUCAUAAUUCAUUAGCUGGCUAUCACGCUUGCCGAUCUACGGACCUGAACCUUCUGGGGCUCGACACAGUGAAGCAUGGCCCGGAGAAAGCUCAGUCAAACAUUUACACGGAGGAAUGUGGCAUUUCCUACCCGGGUGCUCUGAUUACCAUCAGGGGCUUAUCUUUCCCCAUAAAAGGAAGUGUGGACACGUAUUAAGUUGUCAACACUAGAAAAAUGUGAGGUCUAGGAUAGAGGGCUUGGGAGGUGUCCCAGUUGCUGUUGUACAAUGUGUGAGGGUAAGAACGAGGGUGGUGUCUGGGGCCAUCCGAGGCUCAGAAGUUGUGCUUCACAAAAUAGGCUUUGGGGGAUCGUGCAUCUCCUUAUUAAACUGAGAUUUUCUUAAGAGAUCAGAAGGCUGUCUGGGCAAUGCUCACCUUGACUCUCUUAUUUAUUGGCUCAUCAAGGAAAGAAAACUAUUAAUGUCCAGAACAGGUCCCAUCUCUGUAUGUGACAGAAAUGCACAUCAGAGAAAAAUUGUUCUCAGAAAGGUAGGGAGUUCUGCAUGAGGAGAGUCAGAGCCAAGCAGCCAGAGUACUGCAUGGGCAUUCUGCCUCUGAUACUAAACCCCCUGGAGACCCCCAGUCUCCUUGUCUGUAAAUUAGAUGCUAUGACUUAACAUGCACGCUUCGUGUAAGGUAAAAUGAGAUGAUACACACAAUUUUCAAGGUUAUGAUUGUCUGUAUGAGAUAGAGAUAAAACCACACUGAGUUCAUAACUUCAGGCCAACAGCAUAGAAACCUGGUAUGUUUGAAAUCUGGGCACUUUGAAAUGUGAACAGAUGCUUGAUUUUUACUAACUUUAGAAAAAUACAUUAAAAAUAAGACUCUUAGGUGUCCAAAGGCUUCCAGUUGGAGAUGUGGGCUCAGAAGAAUAUCAUCACCUCAAGGGCCAUGAUGAAAAGAUUUGUUUUAGCCCAAACCCAAAGACACCAUCAUCUCCCCCUCCCCUCUAUGGAUGUCACCGUCAUCCAUACAAAUGGAGAAUUGUCCCUCUGCCCAUCCGUCCAUUCCACCAAUGAUUCCCAAGGGGUCACUGUGUGCCAGGCUACGUACCAGGCACUGAAUUCCCAGGGUUAGAGGAGACACAGUCCUCGCCUCCAGGAAGAAGCUUGUUUAGUUCAAGGGAAAGCUUCCAGCUGAGGUUCGGGUGCAUCUUGAGUGGUCCCCAAAGGCACACGUGGUGGAAACUUGGCUCCCAGCAUGGCCAUGUCAAGAGGUGGUGGGACGAUUUAAGAAGUGGCCUCAGGGACAGUAGGUAGGUCACCAAGGGUGCUGCCCUCAGAAGGGAUCACUGCCAUUCCUGGGAGAGGGAGUUGUUACAAAAGAGCCAGCUGGCCUUGGAAUACCCCUUGCUUCCUGACCUUCCACGUGAUUUCUCCCUUCUGUACACGACCGGCUUCCUUUCCACGUCUCUCCACGUUGUGAUGCAGCUGCGGGGGGAGGCCCUCAAGGAUGUCAGUGCCAUGCUGUUUGGAUCCUUCAUUGGCCAGAAUCAACCUCUUCAUAAAUUUCUGAGGGUCGGGUUAUUCUGUUACAGCAAGACAACCCAGAAACCCAUCAUUUCACACCAUAACUAAGCAAUACCAUGAUGGAGGCACACCCAGAGGCUGACCAGUCCAAACCUGAUGCAUGGAUUCUAGAGCUGCGGCCUCCAGCUUGGCCUCCUCUGCCUCAACCCUCUUCUUCAAUCUCAUGGCACUCACAGCAGGAAUCCACUCCCAGCCCCAGGCAGCACUGACAGCUCUGACAACUGGAAACUUCUCCUUGUAUUGAGCCAGUAUAUGUCUCCCGGUAACUGUGACUAGCUCUGUGGAGCUCAUCCCAACCUUCUGCCACCUGACAACCCUUCCGAUGUCAGAAGUCAGCAUUCAGGUGACAAGGAAGCAGAGAUGAUCUUAGGCUCACAUUGCACAUGGGAAUACUGGGGACUUCUAGGAUGGAUCCUGACACCAAGUGUAUGAUAAGACUGUCUCAUUCUGGAUUCAUUUGGAUUUUAAGCGCUAGCUUUACUAAUUUUGCUGGAAUGUAUGAAGCAUAUCAGCAUUCAUUAUUUUGCAAUGUCCUUACAUCGACCAGGUAAGAUGGUCCGGGAUGAUUUAUUAUUUCCAUUUUAUUCACAAACAAAACAAGGUUCAGAGAGGUGUUGGGCUGGAGUUAUCCAGCGAGCAUCCCUCAAAUCCCAAAACCCAGAAUGCACAGCAAUUCCUACCCUGAUAUCCUUUCUCUUCUAGUGCUCUGACGUUCAGCCAGUCCUUUCUUUCCCAGAGAUUUGUCUUCUGAAAGUAUCGACUAUAGUACAUCACUCCCUACAUCAAAAAUCCUCAGGAAUUCCCCCUAACUUAUGGGAUAAAACUGCAGGCUUCUGGAAUGACAUUCAAUGCCCUCAACACUCUACCUGAGGAGUUUCUGGGAGAGCAAGGUGCAUGGGUACCACACCAAGGGCCCACAGCAGUGUGAAUUCAGUGACGAAUACCUUCACCAAGUGUUUUCAAAGCUCAGUGAAGCAGGGCAAGGAUCCAAGGAGGCUUCCAGGCGUCAGGGAUGCCUGAAGCAGAAUUUAAAAGUGUGCUUGCCAUUCCUGUGUUAAUGGGAGCAAAGAUGACAUGGAGGAGAGAAACAGCUCGGUGGCUGUGUAUUCUGGAAAUGCUGUGUUGCUGGAGCAUGAGGCACAGAGAAGGGUUUCAAGGAGGAUGGGGCUGCAGGGGAGGCAGGGCCAGGGUUGUAAGCUGACAAAUGAAGGAGUUUAGACUUCAUCCUGCAGGAUGUGGUCAGCCACACGGGAUUUGAAGCUGAGCAGUGUCCACAGCAUUUGGGAUGUGCAUUGGAGAGUGGACUGCGGUUGGAGGUGGGAUGGGUAGGAAUGGUCUGGUUGCAGGUGAUAUAAGGAAACUCUAGCUCUAGUUCAGAAAAGAGAAGACAAAGGGCAGUGACAGUUACUAGAGAAAUGGAAGGAUUUUCACAUUUUGGGGGGAGGCAGAAAACCCAACAAUAACCACAAUAAAAGGAUGCUUGGAUGUUGUGGGAGAUGAGGGAAGGGAAGAGUUAGGCUGCUCCCAACACUUAGGGCCUUCCAGACAGGGCAGAACACACUGUCUUUCUCAGUGCCAUAUACCUAUACUCAGGACCUAUACUCAGGACCCAGCAUUGCAGAAAGAAGAUAUGCAGCACCUAUUUGUGCAUAAAUCGAUUAAUUUAAGCUGAUUUGGUAAGAAAGACCUUUCAUCUUCCUGAGGUGGCCAAGGCUGUUGGCUAAUCCCUUACACCUGUCCCCUCCUUGUUUACUCCACUAUAGGGACUUUAUUUCCCUAUUGUCAGGUGUGAUUAUGCCUUUGAGCCCUAACAAGAGAUAUGACGUUGCUCCUUCCAGGCCCAGGUAUGCACACUCUGGCAUGCUUUAUCCUUUCUUUCCACCUGAUGUGGAAGGACAUGGUAGAGGCUUGACAAGGACCGAGACUGGUCCCCAAAAGUUGUGUGGAAAAGAGCCACCAAUUAGGAGCAGUCAUUUUAGAGGUGACAUCAGCAAGAUAAGCUGUUACCGUGUUUGAAAAGGCCACUUCUUACAGCAAUCAGUUGCUUCUGUUCCCUGUCUCACCCAGAGAGAGGGAGGUGUUUGGUACACAGCCAUUAGUACCAGCCAUGGUGCCUGGUAGAUUUGCAUUCUCGGCUUCACUCUGAGAUCUUUCUUGCUCCUGUUUUGCAGAAGAAACACAACAACCCUGAACUUUAUUGGUUGGCCUAAGUUUAUACAUGUUCCCCCAGACACAUGUAUGUGAGGCUGCGCAAUAGAGUCUUGGGCAAUUCUCUCCACUUCUCUUCCCAUACUUAGAAAAUAAGAUGAUGAUCAAGAAGAAAAAAGAAGGCAGAAGAGGAAGAGAAAGGGAAAGAAGAAUUAAUCCACUGAACUUUUCAUCCAUUUGAGCUUAGAUAUCAGAGAGAUGAAUAGGCGUGGGCUUUGGGCUGGCGUGGAACCUCCGUAUCUGGAACCAGCACCCCUUAUUGCUUUUGGAUACAGGGCUGCCCUCCUGCUGCCCAGUCUCAUGUGCCCUUUGAUUUGGGUCUCAGUGCUUUAGCCGUGUUGGCCUCUUCUUUCAGUUCCUCAAAUGGGCUGUGCUCCCUCCUGACCCAGGGGCUUUGCCAGUGUUUUUUCCUUUGGUAGGAGAGUCAUGCCCCCUCCGUUCAAUUGGCUAAUUUGCACCCCUUCUUCCGCUUUCUGCUUAAUCUCUCCUUCUCAGGGAAACCGUCCUUGACCCUGAACUAGGUUAUGACCCCUGAUACACCCUCUCACUACAUCCCAGACUUCUUCUUAGUGGUGGUCAUCUGAGUUUUGAGGGUGUCAUCCCUUGUACAGUUCAGGGUGCAUCUGUUAUGUCCAGCUCCACAAGGUCAGGGAUGGAGUCUGUCUGGUUGGUGUCUCUAUCCCCAGAAACUAGCACAGCCCCACAAAUAGUGGGCAAAUAGGAAACAAAGGUUUUCCUCUUUUUGCGACACAAUUUUAAAAGUGGACUUAAAGAAAGGCUGCUCUUCCAAAAGACUUUCUGGAAGACACAAUGCACAUGUGAAAUUCUGAAAUGAAUCAGGCCACUUAGUAACUGGUUAGUGACUUAAAUCUGAACUGUGCCCGAGGCCAUCCCAUUUCACAAGUGUACAGGCAGAGAGCGAGGUCUGCGCAGACUCCCCUGGUCUGAGUCAGACGGGGAAACACCUCCCACUCACUCUUGGGUGCUUUCUCUUGGGUGUUGACAUGAUGGCCACUUGAGAAGCAUGAGGCAGUGAGUUCUACCUAAAGGAGGGUGCAGAUCAUUAGAGCCAGAGUCCUGCUCUCCCAGUUUAGUGUGGGAUAACCUUGAGCCUCAGUUUCCUCACUUAUAAAUGGUAAGAAUUUUAUCUUUUCAGAGUUUACAACCUGAGUGUUUGUAAGGCUCAAAUGGGCUCAGGUGGAUGGAGAUGCUCAGCAGGUACUUGGGAGAUUUUAACUGACUGCUAGCACUGCCAGGGUUAGGGACAGAUGCUUAGGACGCAUUGCCCGUGACGACAAAUGAGCAGCUCCAUUAAUAAGAUGAAGGAGUCGUUAUCUUUUGUUGGUGGGUAUAAGGGCUGAUUUUGUUCCUGGCCGAAUAGCAGAGAUCUGAAGACAAGGAUUUGAUUCUUUUUGUUUUCAAUUAUUUAAGUGUUCAUUUUAGGUAUUCAUGAUAGUAGAAUGUAUUUUGACAUAUCAUACACACAUGGAGUAUAACUUAUUCUACUUAGGAUGCAAGUCUUGUGGUUGAACAUGAUGUGGAAAUACAAUAUUGUUUAUUUGUAUAUGAACAUAGGAAAUUUGUGUCUGAUUCAUUCUAUUGUCUUUCCUAUGCUGUCUCUCCUCCCUUCCCUUCAUUACCCCUUGAUUAAUCAAAUGAACUUCUAUCCACCCCUGUUAUUGUGUGUUAGCAUCCAUACAUCAGAGAGAACAUUCAGUCUUUGUUUUUUGGGGACUAACUAAUUUCACUUAGCAUAAUAGUCUCCAGUUCCAUCCAUUUACAGGCAAAUGCUAUAAUUCAUUCUUCUUUAUGGCUAAAUAAUAUUCCAUUGCAUAUCUAUCUAUCUAUCUGUCUGUCUAUCUAUCUAUCUCACAUUUUCUUUAUCCAUUCAUCUGUGGAAGGGUACUUAGGUUAGUUCCAUAGCUUAGCUAUUGUGAACUGAGCUAAUAUAAACAUUGAUGUGGCCGUGUCACUGUAGUAUGCUGAUUUUAAGUCCUUUGGGUAUAUACUGAGGAGUGGGAUAACUGGGUCAUAUAUUGGUUCCAUUCAAGUUUUUUGAGAAAUCUCCAUGUUGCUUUCCAUAGUGGUUGCACUAAUUUGCAGUCCCACCAGCAAUGGUGAGAAUGAUUUGAUUCUCUAGACAUGAAAGUGCACCUUCUUCACAAAAUAAAAAAGCUGUAGAUAAAUAGAAGGAAGACCAGUGGGGCGACUGGAGGAGAACAGGGGAGAGAGGAGGGGAAGAGGAAAUACUGGGGACUGCAUUGGAGCAAAUGAUAUUCCACGCAUGCAUGAUCAUGUCAUAAUGAACCCCACUAUUGUACAUGACUCUUAUGCACUAAUAUAAUCAUUAAAAAUGAUACUGAGAGAGGAGUAGAACCCCUGUGAGGCCACAGCCUGAAUUCCUUGUUCAUCUUAGUAGAUGAGGAAUCUGUGUCCUUAGAUACUCAUUGUGAGCACCUGCUGUGUGCCAGCCACACCCUGUGGAGCACUUUUCUCUUGUUCUGUUUGCUCUUUGGCCUAUUUUGGUGACAAAUCAAUUAUAAUUCCUAUAUUCAUGAUAAGAAAACUCAGGCAAAAGGGACUAAGUAACUUGCCCUUAGUCUCUCCACUAAUCAGUCUGUUUGAAGCCAAAUCCCAUACACAUAAGUACCUUAUAUUCCCUCCACAGUAAGGUACGUUUCAUGGAGUAUGAAGGCCCAAAAUGUAGAUAGAAAAAUGUAGUCCAGCUUUAAUUAAUAAUAAUAAUAAUAAUAAAUGUGAAUAUUAGUAUUAUUAUUGCCUGGCAACUUCAGAAACAACCAAAAUUUCCAUUGGAAUGCAAAAGUUUCCAUUUCUUUUGUACAAAAGCUCGCUGUUUCUGAUUUUCUUUCUCUAUUUGAUGGUGUGCAAAACCCCCUGGGUAGAAAGAUGUCUAGCAGAAUGGAAAAUGCACCGGGCUGGGGACUGUUUCUGGUCCUGAGUCUCUAGUUGGCAUGACUUCGGGGAACUCAUUCAGGACCUCAGAGCUCCCUUUUUCUUGUGUGUGAAACGGGGACAGUCAUGCAGCACAUGCCAACAUCUAAGGAUCCUCAGAGGGUCCACACAACAGCUCUGCACAACGUGUGCGGGUGUCGCAAGAUCCGUCUUAUAUCCUCACGUCCUCCUGGCUUCCCGUUCCUGGUGGGAAUUUAUGACUGAUCACUGAUCAGACCUAAUAACAAAAGCUUUCCCCCCAUGACCUAUAUGCACCCUGAAGGGUUUCAGGUUUUGCACACGGGCGCAGGCUGUCUCCAGUUGGAGGAGAGGAGAUCCUAUUUAUUUGGAGGCUGUGGACUCGAAGCGCCACGACAAUAAGACUCAUUUGCUCUCACUGAUGUACGUGAAUUCUUUAUUUGUGGACAGUUCUGUGACACAAACGCAAUCUGUGACUGCAGCCCACGGCUUUACUUGGAGAGUCCUAUCGCUGUGAGAAUCAAAGUCAAAUAUUGCAAAGGGCUCAUGAUUUCAUGGAGGUGGUCAUUUCUGCAAACAGAGAAGCCUGCUUGGGAGGUUUCUGUCCCCAUCAGAGGUCCUUGAUGGAAUGACGGCCCUGUAGUUCAUUCUUGUUCUUGUUUGUCAUCUGGACAAGCUCUGGGCUUAGCUCUUUGCCUUAUCUGAGGGGACAGGCCAGCCGUGAGUGAGUCACAUGGUCCAGGCAAUUGUAUUUCCACAAUUUUAUUAGAAUGGCUGCGUAGAUUAGCUUUGCUAAUCAUGAAGAGUGUCUUGGAUCUCUCAGAGUUGCUAGGGUAACUUUGAAUUUUUUUUUUUUUAAAUAAAAGCAUCUGUGAAAAGAGAUUGGGAUGAGGACCCAAGAGACUUGGAUCUCCAUGCUGCUACUCCUGGUGGUUAUCUUGGGAACAGCCGGAGCCUUCUGAUCUUGGUCAGUAAGAUGGAGCUCAGGGCGUGGCAAGAGAGGAGCAGAGGAGGCUCCAUUAGGUAGCACUUGACUUAAGUUGUCAACUUGAUUGACCAGGCAGGCAGAAGCAGACGAGAGGGGCCUUCUUCACAGAGAGGGUGGAUUGAUGGAGCAAGGCAAAGGGAAAGCCAAGGAUUGUCUCAUGAUCAUGCGUCUUUGCCUAGUGGGAAAGAGAUGUGCUAGUGAGUUGGGGACCAGGUCAUGAAAGGGCUCAGGGACCAAGUGUUUCUAUUACAAGCAACUCUCCAAGGCUGUUGAGCAUGGGAGGAGAGAAUGAGACACAAGUGGAAUUUCUUUUCAUUACACAGCCAGUAUCCAACAUUAGGGUUUCAAGGCAUGACAGGAAGAUCACAUUUUUGAGCUCCCAAAAGGUAAUUUUACAUUCCAAGAUACAAAUAACAUCCUAGAACACAGACACAUCUUAUGGAAAUCUAAAGUUAGAACUUAUUUGGAAAGAGCUUAAGUUGAUGUGAUCUAAAUCAUUAUUUAUUUAAUGGAAAUGUGCUAAGAGUUUGCAGCAAACAGAAAAUAAGUCGAAUUCUAGAGUGCUGUAAGUUUCUUUUUAAAAUGCAAUGAUGCACUUUCAUCAUUACUGGGUUUUAAUGUGAGAAAUUCAGGGUCUUCUGCUACUGAAGGUUGUUAGGGUCUGUAAACAAGUCAAGAUGGCGCCUGGCAAAAUGCCAGAGGGCGUGGUUUGUGAAGUAACGGUGAGGUGUGGAGAUUCCUUAUUGGUUGACUGCUGUAUCGAGUUUAUGUUAAUUAAGAUAAGCUGUGUGGAAUGUAUAAAUACCUCUGUUGUCCUACAAUAAACGGCUCCCACUCCUGCUGUAUCAAUCUACACAAGUUGUUCGUCAUCCCCCGGUUAUUUUGCUGCAGCCGGACUGCGGCAGAAAGUAAAACCUCCUCCCCUCUUUUCUCCACAGCCAUCUCCACAGCCAUGCUUUGCAUGGUUCAGGGAUUCUAGACGUUUCCUGCUGCCACAUGACUGGAACAUGUUGGCAUGCUCUGUCCUAGAAGAGGUGCACAAGAGCAUCAAGGGAGGCAGUCCCAAGAGCCAACCCUAGUUCCUCUGCUUUCUGCUCAAACAAUUUAGGACAAGCUGCUUAGCCUUGAUCAUGGGUGAGGUUUCCUGGAAAAGUGAUCCAAGCAGUGUAGAGAUUCCUCAAAACACUAGGCAUGGAACCACCCUCUGAUUCAGCUAUCCCACUCCUCAGUAUAUGUCCAAAGGAUUUAAAAUCAGCACACUAUAAAGACGCAGCCACAUUGAUGUUUAUAGCAGCACAAUUCACAAUAGCUAAGCUACAGAGCCAACCUUGGUGUCCUCCAACAGAUGAAUAAAUAAAGAAAAUGUGGUAUACAUACACAGUGGACUAUUACUCAGCCAUCAGAAAGAAUGACUUUAGGACUUUUGUUGGAAAAGCAAUGCUAUUUCAUAUGGAGGAGGCUAAAUGGGGAGUAAGCUCAGGAACAAUACCCCCAGAGGGAGGGAAACAGGAUUGGGCAGAAGUCGGACCCACAUGCAAUUCAAUGGACACCCCCACAAUCCCACAGGGUAUCCUGGAGCUGGGUGUGCCUUCAGACUGUCCCAGCUGAAGGCAAGUGCCAGUGCCUUGUGGACCUGUCGUGGGCGAAGGCUGCCUUCUGGGGGCUCUGACUUGAGGUGAGGACACUCUAUUUGGUUUAGCAGCACCCAGAGCCCCUGGCAGCAGGUGGAAUGGGAACCCACCUUCCCAACGUGCUCUGUGAAUUACUAGAUCCGAGCUGGGCCCAGGCUAAACUCUUGGCAAGUAUUUGUUAACUGAGGAAGAAAUGCCACACAGACCGAGCUGUCUGUAUGGGCAGCGCCCACAUUUUAAGCACUUAGAGUAGCUGACACAAGCUUCACAACGGUGUGGAGGCCCUAGGUGAAGUCCUAUUUUACAGGUAAAGAACUGAGGCACCAAAAGUGGAGGCCAAGCAGCUUAGCAGGGCCGACCUCAGAAGCAGGACCAGGCAACUGGACUCCCUCUCUGAGCCACUGUCCUUCGCGUCCCCUCAGCAGCUCCUCAUCUUUGCCCGUCUCCCCCACCCUCCUUCCCCCACUGCCCCUCCUGGAUGCCAUGUAGUCAUGACGUACUCGGCGCCUUGGAUAUCUUCUUUGGAUCUCUGCUGUCUUGCAGGUUCAGUGCAAGAGGUGAGAGUCCAAUCCCUGCCCCUCUCACUAUUUCUCAGGAGUGCUGCUUGAGAACCUAAUUGAUCAUAGAGCCUGUUUUUUUUGUAUUCUUCCCCAUAGCCAUUAGCAAAGAAGAGGCUAUUUGAGUUUAUGGUGUUCUUUCGCAAGUAUUAUCUCAUUUAAUCAGCCCAACUCCCCAGAAAAAUGGGCAGUACCUGGAUGGCCACCUGCGUUUUAUAGAUGAGAAAAUAGAGGCUCAAAGAAGUUAUGUGAAGCAAUUAAGAAAGAGAAUUUCUAAUUCUGUCUCACAUAAUCACUCUGCUUGGUCUUUCUUCUUCCUUGGGGGAUGAAUGGCAGGAAUUAAGCCUAAAGCCAUUCUGUACUCCUGAUUUAGGGACAGUCAUAGGAACAUUGGGGAGCAUUUCUCAUCUACUUUUUUGGGGGAUGGUUACCAGAACUGAACUCAGGGGCACUCAAACACCUUGCCACAUCCCCAGCCCUAUUUUGUAUUUUAUUUAGACAGGGUCUCACUGAGUUGCUUAGCACCUCGCUUUUGCUGAGGCUGGCUUUGCACUUGCGACCCUCCUGCCUCAGCCUCCCGAGCUGCCAGGAUUACAGGCAUGUGCCCUGCUUCCUUUACUUUUCUCUGUUUGACAAAUGAGGACCGGAGGAGGCAUGAAGAGGUUGCAGACUUUCCCUGCAAUGUAAUGUCCCUGAAGCCGGCAUGUCACUCAAGUGGGGUUACUAGCUCCAAAGCUCAGGUGCUCUUGGGCACCUUACCUGCUGCUUCUAACUUCACAGUCCUUGGUCUGAUUCAAAGCCCCAUCCUCUUUCCUUGAGUGAUGUCAUAGGCUCAUGGUAAAAUUUAAAUACUAAUCCUACUGCUAGAAAUUCAAAACUUAAAUGCCCAAAGUUUAAGUGAACUCAGCCUGUGUCACUGGUCCCACAGGCAUUCAAGAAGACACUCUGGGCAGAAAUUAUUCAUUAAAAAGAGCUUUUGAUUCAGGGUCACCAGCACAACUGCAUGAUGUCUUCCGGAAGCCCAUUGGAGGACAGGAAUAUACAUAUUUUUCCUUUUUAAAUUUAAUUUAGUCUUGAAGCAGGACACUGGUAAUCGUCCUGCGCUCCAGAACCCAGCUCCCACCCCGGGGACAGGUAAAUGGAAAGAACCUGCUUCACGCGGCCUGCGGGUACCUUGUCCUCGCUGACAGACUACUGGAGCCUUUUCUGAGCUCCAGGCAGCAAUGGGCAGACAUCUAAACUGGCUGUCACCAAGCAGCAGGAACCCAGAAGUACCCACCCUCUUCUUCAGAGAAAUCAUUAAAGGGUGCAGGUCAACAUUCUGUUCUCAUGGUAGAAAAACGAGGUCCUGUCCCUGGACCAUCAAGCUCCUCACACCCACAGCUUGAGAAGCAUCCUGGCCACUGAAGCCAAGGUGGCUGUGGAGCCAUCGAGGGGGGUUCCUUGAUAUGGGGCAGGGAUUUGAGAGCUUUGACAAAAGAAGGUGACAAUAACGACGAAGCAAGGACAAACAACCUUACCAAGCUUCUGAGACUUAGGUUAGAAGUGAACAUGUAGCUACCUGGCUCUGUCCCCCAAAAUGUGUUUUUGGAAAGCUACUGUGUUGAAGAGAGCACAUGAAGGACCACACGGAGAGAGGGGCGAUGUCUGAGCAGCCGUUGCAGCUAUGGAGCAGAGACAGCCUUCCCUGCUGAGGUCAGCCCAGAUUGCUUACUCAUCAGCUAAGUAGACCGUGGCUAUUUAUUUAUAUAUUAUAGCUGGGAUUUUUUUUUUUUUUUGCACAACAGAUAACAAUAGCCCAUGCCAUUCAAGACAGAUUGCAAUGUGAAGCAUAGUCCACGAUAUGUGACAGAUAAAAGUGCAGCAUCUUGUAUUUAGAUUCAAAUAACUCUGAAUAAAAUGCACCGCACACAGGCCUUCCCACAUCCAUGUCGAAUAAACUGAUGAAUGAGUCCGUAAAUCAUCCAGGGGAGACAUCGCUCAGGAGGACGAACUGAGGAUCUAUGGCUCUCUAAAUUCCUAACUGGGGCCAAACGUGGCAUGACAUUGUUCAAAAGCUUCAGAGGCCAAGUUUAAACAUGAAUGACUUUCUCACUUUCUGAAAUGAUUUGGGGAGCAGGAAGCCUCAGGAUAGAGAAUUUUGGGAAUUUUAAUGUAAGAGGAAUGGAGAAACUGAAGGGUGCCAGCAUGGUGCACCACCUUUAAAACUGAUUCCAGAAAAAGUUGAAAGAUCUUUCUUCAGCCUGGAAAGCAGAAGAGGAGACAAAAGAGUUGAUUCAGAUCUUGAAGGAGGAGACAGGCUUCUUUUCUGUUGUCUAGAAGUUGGAUUAGAACCAAAAGGCCAAUGUUCUGAAGUAGCAGUCGGCAUACUUUGCCUGUGAAGGGGCAGAUAGUAAAUAUUUUAGGCUUUGGCAACCACAGGGUCUCUGUUCCAACAACUCAGCUCUGCCUUUGUAGCAUGCAAGAAGCCAUCGUCAAUAUGUAAACAAAUCAGUGUGGCUGUGUUCCAGUAAAACUUCAUUCAUAGAAACAAGCUAUGGCCAGGCGUGGCCCAUAGAUGAUGGUCUUUAUUUAGACCCUGUAUAAAGAGAUGAUCUUUCCCUCUACAUAAGACCAAGCUUCCCAGUAAAUAAAAGUAUUAAAUUUCAGAGUCACUGGGAGGUGGGGGAGACUGAAAUAUCCAUAAUGUAUUUAAAAUAGUCUGGGUGGACCAGAGAUAAAAUAGUCUUAAUACAUAUAUGGGGCAAAGGGUCUCUAUGAAGAAAAUGCAUAUGUGUGUAUAUAUAUAUAUGUAUGUAAAUAUACAUAUAUUAUAUAUACUUAUGUGUGUGUAUAUAUAUAUCUUAAUAAGAUAUCCCUGCAAAUGGGUGGAAGUUUUGAACAAAAGAAGCUAUAAAGAUGGCAAAUAAACAGCUGAAAAGAUAGACUACAUGAUUUUUUUUUUGGUCAGGGAAAUACAAAUUUAAAUCCCACAAUAAAUGACCAAUACAGUCAUUAAAAUGACUGAAAUUAAAAAGACUGACAACCCCAAGUGUCAGUGGGAGUGUGAGCAACAGGAAGGGUCGAGGUGGCUGGGAGAGUGUGAAAGCUCACAUUUCUCUAAAGAUCUCUUCAAGGGCUUCUUACAAAGUGAAGCAUUCACGUCAUCAGUUAGCCAUCCUUCUCCCGUGAGAGCAUGUGUCCACAAAAAGACCCGGACCCAAAUGUUCAUAGCAGCUUUACUUCUAAUAGUUCUAAAUCAAAAGAGUCCAAAGGGCUGCUAACAGAUGAGUGGGUAAACAAGUUUUAUUAUGUGCACUCAAGGAAUAUUAUUCAGUAAGAAAAGGGUAAGCUAUUGAUAAUACAAUGUGAAGGAAUCUUACAAUGUGUUGAGAAAGAGGUCAGACCCCAAAACAUACUGCUGUCUUCCAUAGACACGAAAUUCCAGAAUAGACACAGUUUCCCUGUCAUGACAUAACAGAUUGGUGGAAAUCAGAUUAAUGGUUGCCUGGGGCUGGGGUUGGAAUGGAAUGUCUUUAAAAGACCAUAAAGAAACUUGGUAAUAUCAAGGAUAUGUUUCCAUGCCUGUGUAAUUAUAUCAAAAUGACUCUACAGUCAUGUAGAACUAAAAACAACCAAUAAAAAAAUAAAAUGAAAAAAAUUAAAAGGAUGUGUUUUCUCCUCUUCUCCUCCUCCUCACUGGGGAUUGAACCCAGGAGUGUUUUCCCAUUGACUUUCAUCCCCACAUCCCCAGCACUAGUUUGUUUUUUUUUGUUUUUGUUUUUUUUUUUUGAGACAGGGUCUCACUGAGUUGCUUAGCUCCAAUUGCUGAACUUGGUCUCAGCAAUUAUGAUCCUCUUGUCUCAGCCUCCAGAACCACUGGGAUUACCACACUCAGCUCAAGGAAAUGUUUUCUACAGUGACUGUGGUAGAAGUUACAAGACUGUGGAUAUUUGCCAAAUCCCAUCAAACUGUGCCAAGUACUUAACAUGGGCAAAUUUUAUGGCUGCAGAUUUUGAUGGGAUAGAAUUGAUUUUUUUUUUUGGGGGGGUGGUACUAGGGAUUGAACUCAGGGGCACUCAAACACUGAGCCGCAUUCCCAGCCCUAUUUUAUAUUUUGUAUUUAGAGACAGGUUCCCACUGAGUUGCUUAGUGCCUUGAUUUUGCUGAGGCUGGCUUUGAACUCGCCAUCCUCCUCUCUUAGCCUCCAGAGCUGCUGGGAUUACAGGUGUGCACCACCAUGACUGGCUAGAAUUAAUUUUAAAAAAGCGAAAUGGCCAUCCUUUUGGGAUAUGACAAUCAAUGACAGGGGAUGCUCACUUUUGUGUGUGUGCUUACACUGAACCAGGUACUGGGCCAGGGGCUUUAAGUCCUGCCCCUAUUACUUCUAAAGCUCUAUUUUAAGUAGCAGUGGCUAUAUCUCCAUAUCACAGACGGGAAACCCAAGCCUUAGAGAGAUUUCAUGAUUUUCCCAAGGCCUUGCAUCAGUGGUUUGCAGAGGUGGGGUUUUCAACUGGAUCUUUCAGACCCUCAGACUCCAGACUUCUUAGUUAGAAGGCUGAGCCCUAUAACCUCGGCAGUUCCCCUAAUUUGAGAUUCUGGAAAUAUUUAAAGGCAUUGCUUGUCUGAUGUUGGGCCAACAGAUAAGAAUCAAGUUGUUCAUUGCCUAAUUUGGACAUAUUUCUGAAUCAUUUGGGGAGUAGCACCACUGUUGGUCAGUCAAAAUGACGGUGCGAAUUGCUUGGGAAAAUAAUCUAAAACGUAAUCUGGAGCAUGUGAAUGUCAACUCCUAGGCUGAAAAAUGAAAUGCGGUUGUGUUUACUGUUCGGACUCAUCUUGCUGUGACCACACAGAGCAUUUCUGAGGGGAUCUGAUGUGAGGGUGACAUGUCAGUAUCUGUGUCCUCCCAAAGUCAUUCAACUGUUAUCUCCUGAUAGUGAUUGCUGGACUUUCUCAUGGUCCCAAGUAUUUAUUAGAUUAGAAUGUAAAAUUUACAACUGCUUCAGGAGCCUGGCUGGCUGCUGUGGAGAGCCAGCUGAGAUCAGAGUCAGGAGGCAGAAGGACCUUCUUGUCUCUGCCCUUAACUCACUGGCCCUUUGGAUAACUCGUUCCCUGAAAGUUUUCUCAUGUGUGGAAUAAAAUAAAGGGCAUUAAUUACUGUUUAAUCUUUAAUUAGGAGUUCAAUCUACAAAUCUGACAAUAAGCUUACUGGUGUUUACAGCCUUAUUGGCAAAUGAAGAAGCGAACCGUAUCAGUCAGAUCUGCUAACUGUAUUAGUCAGAUCUCUGAGUACAGAGCAACCCAAGGAUCAGUGGCCUGUGACUACAAGUUUUCUCCCCUGCUUAGGGGUUGCAGGCAAUUUGGGUCUAUGGAUUGGGUUUUGUCUUUGUGUCGGGUUCAGGUUUACUCCUGUGUCUCAUUCUGGGUCCAGGCGAAAGAAGCAACAGCCAUUUGGACAUUUGCUCCUCAUUACACAGGACAGGGAGAGAGACCCGACCUACACAGAGCUCAGAAAUGAGCUGCCACUUACAAACAUAGCCCACUGGUCAAAGCAUGCCAGAUGACCAUGCCCAAAGUCUGGGCGAGGUGGGGUGGGGGCACAGAGAAGUCAGCCCUGCCCAUGGUGUCGAGCAGGGGAGAGUGAAUAGUGACCUCCUGAGAGCCCAACCCCAAAGACAGGACAAUUCUAGGCAGUUGGAUCUCGAAGAAAGGGUUUUCUUUCUCAUUUACUCAGAAGUUGACUUACCAGUUCUGGACUCCUUACUCUCCAGGCUGCUCACUGGGUGGGCUGGUUCUUAGGGGAAGAACCAGUUCCUUGAAUGCACUUGGAGGAGGAACUGCAAGUUCUUUGAGGAUUGAGGAUAAAAUAGCUUUCAGCAUUUCUGAUUGUUCAUCGCAUCUAGGCAUCAUUUUGAAUAGUGCUGACCUGCAGCAAGGUAUUAGUAAUCUUUCGUGAUCUCAACAGUACAAGGAAAACAUUUUGAAGUGGAGAUUUAGUCUCAAAGGGAGGGUGUGUGUGUUCUAUCUUGCUUUCAUACCAGAUGCAACAUUCCCUCUGACCACAUCAAUUCUUGAACGUCAGAUAGGCGAAAUGGGGAGGCUCCACGCCUCCUUACUGACUCUUCAGUUUCUUCUCUGCAGGAGGGAUCCACCGGCUACAGAUGACUGACCUUGGCCCCGGCAAGCCCAUUCUGUGGUCAGUGCCAUCAGUCAAGUCAGACUUCAACAGACUCCAGUCUGCCAGCCGUGGUACGAUGGUUUUGAAGAUAGUGGGUACUCUCAAGUUCACAUGGAUGGAUGAUUCUCUAAAACCUGUUAAAGUGAAAAGGCAAAUUGACAGGUACACAGUAAAUAUUGAUGGGUGCAUUUCUGAUCCAAAAAAAAAAAAAAUCAUGGUAUCUACUUCAAGGCAGCAAAGAACGAGUCCUAUCUUUCUUUGAUACUGAUCAGUAUCAAGAGUCUUCAUUUGAGUGGGAAAAAAUGGCAAGCUGUUUUUUUAUUUAAUUUUCUUCCUAAGAGUUCAAACUCACUUUUAUUCUGCCCUACCCCCUAGCCAGUCUUAAACCCUGCUUCAAAGUCUUAUCAUCAAGAACUUCUGGAGUCCUGACUAAGCAGGCACAUAUGAAAGGGAGUCCUCAGGGAAUCUCUCAGCCUGCAACCCAAAGAACAUGGCCUGCCUCAACUGUAGCUGAGGCCAACUCCGCUGCGCCCCAGAAAAGUCUCAGAACAGACUUAAAAGCCCACAACUUCAGUGUAGAUGGGACACCUGUGGCACAGAUAUGUCCUGUGUCUUGCUAAAGGUCACACAGCAAUGUAGGAAGAGGGGCAGACAGAAGCCUAGGUUUCCAUGCACUCUGGAUGGGGCCUUUCCUGGACAUGUUCUUAAUCCUCUCAGUUUUGCAAUCCUCUGAAUCCUGGAGUUAAACACAGAGCACUAUGUGUGACCUCUCACAUUCCCACAUUGUCAUGGAAUAAUAUUUACUGCUUUGCCUUUAUGAAAAAUCUAUUUGAACUGGUAAGGAUGUGGGGGAAAGGCACACUCAUACAUUGCUGGUGGGACUACAGAUUAGUACAAGCAUUAUGUAGAGCAGUGUGGGGAUUCCUCUGAAAACUUGGAAUGGAACCAUCUUCUGACCCAGUUAUCCCACUCCUCAGUAUAUACCCAAAGGACUUAAAAUCAGCAUAGUACAGUGACACGGCCACAUCAAUGUUUAUAGCAGCUCAACUCACAAUAACUAAACUACGGAACCAAACUAGGUGCCCUUCAACAGAUGAAUGGAUAAAGAAAAUGUGGUACAUAUAUACAAUGGAAUAUUACUCAGACUUAAAGAAGAACGAGUUCAUGGCAUUUGUCAGUAAAUAGUUGGAGCUGGAGAAUAUCAUGCUAAGUGAAAUAUGCCAAUCUCCAAAAACCAAAGGCUGAAUGUUUUCUCUUAUGCAGAUGCUAAUUCACAAUAAGGGGGGGUAGCUAAGGAAAAAUCGAGGCAAUUCAGAUAAGG